rnacentral:rRNA from 1 species
GAGAUGUCGGUGACAUAGGCCGCGGGACAGCGUGGGGGGCAAGGGUUAAUGGGGAUUACGGGGGGUCAUGGGGUGGUAGGCGGUUGGCUAAGACCAGUGGGAAAUCCCCGGGAUAAACCUGGUAACUGAAUUGGUGACUUGCAGGCUAGAGUAUGGCAGAGGGGGGUAGAAUUCCACGUGUAGCAGUGAAAUGCGUAGAGAUGUGGAGGAAGACCGAUGGCGAAGGCAGCCCCCUGGGCCAAUACUGACGCUCAUGCACGAAAGCGUGGGGAGCAAACAGGAUUAGAUACCCGAGUAGUC